UAGAAAGAAAGAAGAGUCUGUCGCGGAGGAGCGACGGCGUUGUCUCUCCGCCGCAGAGGUGGUACGUGCCGCUGGAUUUGGCGGCGGAAGAAGCCCGUGCCAAAAGGAUCGGUGUUGCACCGUGUCGCCGUGCUCGAACACCGGUUAGCUCAGUUAAGCUUAGAAAUGGAAGCAAGCAGUGUAUCAAGCUCGUCAACAGUGCAUACUCUUGAGAGCCCAUCCAUAUGGCAAGAAUCCAGCAAGAGACAACAAUUUGGCUCCUCUCAAAGCUUGAUGGAAGAAUCCCAGAACACCAUGAUUGCAGCCAGCACAGAGUUAGCACCGGCAGGCAUGAUUUACUGGUGCGAAUUGUUGAACAGCAAAAGGUGAAGAGUUCAGCUACAGAGCAGCUGGUUCCAGAUGCGAGAGAUUCUAUUAGUACCCAAAAGAGUAAGGAGAAGCAGAGGAUUUUAAAGAGUUGGCUCUGCAAAAGAUUCCUAGGAUGCUAAUUACUCUGCUGUAUGUAGUCAUCUAGAAAAGCUGUUGAUGUUUAAAAUUUAUAUUGACACAUUGUGUCAGCAGUGAUCGAAUGACAUUUACCAACUUAAGUAUGAUCAUAGAUACA